rnacentral:rRNA from 1 species
AGUGAACGCUGGCGGUAGGCCUAACACAUGCAAGUCGAACGGCAGCACAGUAAGAGCUUGCUCUUACGGGUGGCGAGUGGCGGACGGGUGAGGAAUACAUCGGAAUCUACUUUUUCGUGGGGGAUAACGCAGGGAAACUUACGCUAAUACCGCAUACGACCUACGGGUGAAAGCAGGGGAUCUUCGGACCUUGCGCGAUUGAAUGAGCCGAUGUCGGAUUAGCUAGUUGGCGGGGUAAAGGCCCACCAAGGCGACGAUCCGUAGCUGGUCUGAGAGGAUGAUCAGCCACACUGGCACUGAGACACGGUCCAGACUCCUACGGGAGGCCGCAGUGGGGAAUAUUGGACAAUGGGCGAAAGCCUGAUCCAGCAAUACCGCGUGGGUGAAGAAGGCCUUAGGGUUGUAAAGCCAUUUUGUUGGGAAAGAAAAGCAGCAGGUUAAUACCCCGCUGUUCUGACGGUACCCAAAGAAUAAGCACCGGCUAACUUCGUG